GCGGAUGCUGAUGAGGGACGACUUGGAGUAGAGCUGUCCGCUCUUGGAGCGCGCCUCGGCGUAGAACGAGCGCAGCACCCGGCACAGCGCCCCCUUGUCCAUGGUCUCGAAGUCGGGGCUCUGCGCCUUCUCGCUCAGGAGGUGAACUGUGUUGACAGACUUGGAGAUGAAUAUGGAGCCAAGUAUAGGAAUAGGAAUAAGACACAGCGCCCAUGCUCUCCAAGGUGGGGCUCAGUGCCCUGAUCCCACAUGGGGCCAGAGCUGGGGACUCACUCAAACCCACUCACUCACAGCAGUCUUUGCUCAAGGUUGGAUCCUCGAGGGAUGGGCAGCAGCUGGCCUUUGGCACCGCCUGCAAAAGGGAAUCUUCCUCCCACUGCCAGCAAAUGGCUUCAGAGCCUCUUUACACCAUGAAUUCACUGUCAAUAUACUUUUGUUUUGACUUAGUGACUGAAAUAAACUGAUUAUUCCCCUUUUCCACCA